rnacentral:rRNA from 1 species
ACAUGCAAGUCGAACGAAGUAGCAAUACUUAGUGGCAGACGGGUGAGUAACAUGUAGGUAUCUUCCCAUUGGUGAGGAAUAACACGAGGAAACUUGUGCUAAUACCUCAUAAGUCUUUACGGAGAAAGCUUUAUGCGCCGAUGGAUGAGCCUGCACUUGAUUAGUUUGUUGGUAGGGUAAUGGCCUACCAAGACAAUGAUCAAUAGCUGAUUUGAGAGGAUGAUCAGCCACAUUGGGACUGAGACACGGCCCAAACUCCUACGGGAGGCAGCAGUAGGGAAUCUUGCACAAUGGGGGAAACCCUGAUGCAGCGGUGCCGCGUGAGUGAAGAAGGCCCUUGGGUUGUAAAGCUCUUUCGUCGGGGAAGAAAAUGACUGUACCCGAAUAAGAAGGUCCGGCUAACUUCGUGCCAGCAGCCGCGGUAAUACGAAGGGACCUAGCGUAGUUCGGAAUUACUGGGCUUAAAGAGUUCGUAGGUGGUUAAAAAAGUUGGUGGUGAAAUCCCAGAGCUUAACUCUGGAACUGCCAUCAAAACUUUUUAGCUAGAGUAUGAUAGAGGAAAGCAGAAUUUCUAGUGUAGAGGUGAAAUUCGUAGAUAUUAGAAAGAAUACCAAUUGCGAAGGCAGCUUUCUGGAUCAUUACUGACACUGAGGAACGAAAGCAUGGGUAGCGAAGAGGAUUAGAUACCCUCGUAGUCCAUGCCGUAAACGAUGUGUGUUAGACGUUGGAAAUUUAUUUUCUGUGUCGCAGCGAAAGCAAUAAACACACCGCCUGGGGAGUACGACCGCAAGGUUAAAACUCAAAUGAAUUGACGGGGACCCGCACAAGUAGUGGAGCAUGUGGUUUAAUUCGAAGAUACGCGCAGAACCUUACCAACACUUGACAUGUUCGUCGCGACUUUAAGAGAUUAAAGUUUUCGGUUCGGCCGGACGAAACACAGGUGCUGCAUGGCUGUCGUCAGCUCG